rnacentral:ribozyme from 1 species
UUCUUGUUGUUCUUUAGACCUCGAGGACAAGUUUUCUUUUUCUUUCUUUUUUCUUGGUUGUUGUAUUCCUCUUGUGGGAAGCUUUUAAAAAGAAGAAGAAAUGG